UUGGAUAGGGUUUCUAUAGGCAUUGAUUUUGGAUGAUUUAGAGUUGUUAUGACUUUGUAAAAGCUUUGCAAAGUCACAGUGUGUUUUGGAUGAUUUGUAUUUUAUGAAAUAAAAUAGGAUUUAUGUUUUGAGUGAUUUCAAGAGUUUUGUAAUAGAUCUAUAGGUGAAAUUUUGUGAGUUUAUGGUUAUAGUUGUGUUUAAUAUGUGUUGUGAAUUUGAGCUCGAUCUAAUGGUUGAAUUGAGGGAUAUUGAGGUUUAAGUGGAUCAAGGUCUCAAAAAGUAGAAUUUUAGAUCUAGUGAGGGUUUU
rnacentral:lncRNA from 1 species